CCCCUAGAUGUUCUGGGCCGCACGCGCGCUACACUGAACAGUUCAACAAGUCUUAACCUUGGCCGAUAGGUCUGGGUAAUCUUUGAACGCUGUUCGUGAUUGGGAUAGACCUUUGCAAUUAUGGGUCUUCAACGAGGAAUUCCUAGUAAACGCAAGUCAUCAGCUUGCAUUGAUUACGUCCCUGCCCUUUGUACACACCGCCCGUCGCUCCUACCGAUGAAUCGUCCGGUGAAGUUCAUGGAGUCGCGGCUGCUCCAGCUGUUUUCGAAGUGAAAUGGACCUCAUGAUUUAGAGGAAGGAGAAGUCGUAACA
rnacentral:rRNA from 1 species